GGGGCCAGAACAGGAUGUACAGGGCCGUGCGGUGACUGCAAACCAGCAGAAACAUCCCGGGUUCUAAACAUUCGCCCUUACCCCAAGCAGGAGGAGAAUGACCUUCCUAAGAGUUUGCCAAGACGGUGAGCUGGCCAGGCCCCGCAAUGAAGGUCUCUGGGAAAAUCGCAGGCUUUGAUCCUCUCUCAUCACUGGAAGCUGCACACAAGAGCUCUUUGAUGUCUAGUCUGUUGCGGAGGGGGUGGGGAUGCCCGGAAGAAGAGAGACGAAGAGAGACGUGCUGGCCGGCAGACAGAAGUCCAUGGAAUCAACUGAGCAACCCACACCAAUUUUGGUUCAUCGUUUACAGUGUCUGUGCCCCUUUACCCAGAAUUCCACUUCUGGGAAUUAUCCCUCAGGAUUGUAGCUCUGUGAGAAUGAGGAUUGGGAUUGCUCUGAAAAUUGCUCCAUACCUAAACCAGAACAAUGCCAGGCAUUUAGCAGGCGCUUAUAUAUUUGCUGAAUGAAUCAUUUUGUGUAAACGAGACAGUUUCAUAAAUUUUUGGAAAUAAAAGAACAGCUG